AGAUCAACUUUAAUGAUUAUCAAGCCGUGAUCGCCUUUGUAAAUAUUGAAAGAACACACUGGAAGUUGCUGUACUUAUUUCCUGCUAUAAGAUCAGUAUUUUUGGUGGAUCCAGCGGCAAAUUCCAAAGAGAAAGCAGACUCGGAAAAUGCUGCGAAAAGAGUACGGGAAUACUUCAAGAUGAGGAGGACCUGCUAUGGCAAGGAGGACUGGGGGACUGUGAAAUGGAGAGGAGCAACCAUGCACCAUCCAGUUCAACGUGAUGGCAGUAGCUGUGGGGUCAUUGUUACCAUAAUGGCAAGAGCAGUGAUGGAGGCCUUUCCUGCAUUACCAAUUAUGUCCUUUGGGACAUCCAAAAAGGAGAUGGCUUGUGAGAGGAGAAAGUUUGCACUUUCAAUACUCAAUGGUUCAGUGUUUCACAUGGAGAACAACUGUGCAAUGUGCUCUGCCUCAAAGCCCCCAGGAUCUGGGCCUUCCACUACAGAUUGGGUGAGUAUUUGUCGUAGUGUAGUUAUAAUAGGGC